rnacentral:rRNA from 1 species
AUGCUGACCCCUAGUCGAAGUGUUGAGGAGGCCGAGGCAAAAUCUGCCCUCGCCGGACUGCAGGCUCUUGCAAAAUACUACAGCGGGCCUUUGAUCCUGGAGAUGGAUUGCCAUGCAAUCAUAAAAGAGCUAGCUGUGGGAGACCAAUCCAGAUCACAGUGCUAUGCCCUGAUCAAGGAUAUUAAACAAGCACUCUCAGUUUUUUCAGCAACCAGAAAUGUCAGCGACCAGGAGAUCAUCGCAAACGUCCCGGAUAAACUCUGUCCACUGAUGAUGUCUGAAUUUGUAUAUCCUCUGGAGUAG